AUUGAACGCUGGCGGCAGGCCUAACACAUGCAAGUCGAGCGAGCGGCGGACGGGUGAGCAAUGUAUGGGCAUCUGCCUGAUGGAGGGGGAUAACUACUGGAAACGGUAGCUACUACCGCAUACCACCCGAUGGGCCCAUGUGGGAUUAGCUUGUAGGUGAGGUAACGGCUCACCAAGGCGACGAUCCCUAGCUGGUCUGAGAGGAUGAUCAGCCACACUGGGACUGAGACACGGCCCAGACUCCUACGGGAGGCAGCAGUGGGGAAUAUUGGACAAUGGGCGAAAGCCUGAUGCAGCCAUGCCGCGUGUGUGAAGAAGGUCUUCGGAUUGUAAAGUACUUUCAGUCGGGAGGCGUUACCUACAGAAGAAGCACCGGCUAACUCCGUGCCAGCAGCCGCGGUAAUAC
rnacentral:rRNA from 1 species